NCUUACGGCCAUACCACCCUGAACACGCCCGAUCUCGUCCGAUCUCGGAAGCUAAGCAGCCUUGGGCCUGGUUAGUACUUGGAUGGGAGACCGCCUGGGAAUACCAGGUGCUGUAAGUU
rnacentral:rRNA from 1 species